rnacentral:rRNA from 1 species
UUGGAGGGCAAGUCUGGUGCCAGCAGCCGCGGUAAUUCCAGCUCCAAUAGCGUAUAUUAAAGUUGUUGCAGUUAAAAAGCUCGUAGUUGAAUUUCGGGGUUCAUACGUUGGUCGGGCUUUUUGGUCUGUACUAGCGUAAUGGAUUCCUACCUUCUGAAUAACCGGCAUGCCAUUAAUUUGGUGCGUCGGGGAAGCAGGACUGUUACCUUGAAAAAAUUAGAGUGCUUAAAGCAGGCUAUCGCCUGAAUACAUUAGCAUGGAAUAAUGAAAUAGGACGGCAUGGUUCUAUUUUGUUGGUUUCUAGGAUCACCGUAAUGAUUAAUAGGGAUAGUUGGGGGCAUUAGUAUUCAAUUGUCAGAGGUGAAAUUCUUGGAUUUAUUGAAGACUAACUUCUGCGAAAGCAUUUGCCAAGGAUGUUUUCAUUAAUCAAGAGCGAAAGUUAGGGGAUCGAAGACGAUCAGAUACCGUCGUAGUCUUAACCAUAAACUAUGCCGACUAGGAAUCGGACGAUGUUAAUUUUUUAAUGACUCGUUCGGCGCCUUACGGGAAAC